GAUGAACGCUGGCGGCGUGCCUAAUACAUGCAAGUCGAGCGAACAGACGCGGAGCUUGCUCCUUUCUCGUUAGCGGCGGACGUGUGAGAAACACGUGUGUAACCCACUUAUAUGACUGGGAUAACUUCGGGACACCGGAGCAUACCCCGGAUAAUAUUCCGAACCACAGUGUUCGAUAGUGAAAGAUGGCUUUUCUGUCACUUAUAGAUGCACCUCCGCCGUAUUAGAUGGUUGUGACGGUAACGGCUUACCACGGCAACGAUACGUAGCCGAACUGAGAGGGGGAUAGGCGACACUGGAGCGGAGACACGGUCCAGACGCCUACGGGAGGCAGCAGUCGGGAAUGGUCCGCAGUGGUCGAAAGCCUUACGGAGCAACGCCGAGUGAGUGAUAGAGGUGCUCGGAUCGUAAAACUCUGUUAUUAGGGAAGAACAAACGUGUAAGGAACUGAGCACGUAGUGACGGUACCUAGUCAGAAAGCCACGGCUAACUACGUG
rnacentral:rRNA from 1 species